UACGGGGGCAAGGCGUUGUUCGGAAUUACUGGGCGUAAAGGGCUCGUAGGUGGCCAACUAAGUCAGACGUGAAAUCCCUCGGCCUAAACCGGGGAACUGCGUCUGAUACUGGAUGGCUUAGUGUGGGAGGAGGGAUGCGGAAUUCCAGGGUGUAGCGGGUGAAAAUGCGUAGAUAUCUGGAGGAACACCGGUGGCGAAGGCGG
rnacentral:rRNA from 1 species